UACGGAGGCCCCAAGCGUUGUUCGGAUUUAUUGGGCGUAAAGGGUGCGUAGGCGGCAUCUUAAGUCUGGUGUGAAAGGCGCGGGCUCAACCUGCGGACUGCAUUGGAUACUGGGAUGCUGGAGGACUGGAGAGGAGAAUGGAAUUCACGGUGGAGCAGUGAAAUGCGUAGAUAUCGUGAGGAAGGCCAGUGGCGAAGGCGAUUCUCUGGACAGUACCUGACGCUGAGGCACGAAGGCUGGGGGAGCGAACAGG
rnacentral:rRNA from 1 species